rnacentral:rRNA from 1 species
UACGUAGGGUCCGAGCGUUGUCCGGAAUUAUUGGGCGUAAAGGGCUCGUAGGCGGUUUGUCGCGUCGGGAGUGAAAACUCAGGGCUCAACCCUGAGCGUGCUUCCGAUACGGGCAGACUAGAGGUAUGCAGGGGAGAACGGAAUUCCUGGUGUAGCGGUGGAAUGCGCAGAUAUCAGGAGGAACACCGAUGGCGAAGGCAGGUCUCUGGGCAUUAACUGACGCUGAGGAGCGAAAGCAUGGGGAGCGAACAGG